UACAGAGGGGGCAAGCGUUGUUCGGAAUUACUGGGCGUAAAGGGCGCGUAGGCGGCCUGUUAAGUCGAACGUGAAAUCCCUGGGCUCAACCCAGGAACUGCGUCCGAUACUGGCAGGCUUGAAUUCGGGAGAGGGAUGCGGAAUUCCAGGUGUAGCGGUGAAAUGCGUAGAUAUCUGGAGGAACACCGGUGGCGAAGGCGGCAUCCUGGACCGAUAUUGACGCUGAGGCGCGAAAGCCAGGGGAGCAAACGGG
rnacentral:rRNA from 1 species